rnacentral:lncRNA from 1 species
GUCUUCUGCCCGGCCCCUUCGCCCACGUGAAGAACGCCAGGGAGCUGUGAGGCAGUGCUGUGUGGUUCCUGCCGUCCGGACUCUUUUUCCUCUACUGAGAUUCAUCUGGUGAAAUAUGAGUUGGCGAGGAAGAUCGACCUAUUAUUGGCCUAGACCAAGGCGCUAUGUACAGCCUCCUGAAAUGAUUGGGCCUAUGCGGCCGAGCAGUUCAGUGAUGAAGUGGAACCAGCAACACCUGAAGAAGGGGAACCAGCAACUCAACGUCAGGAUCCUGCAGCUGCUCAGGAGGGAGAGGAUGAGGGAGCAUCUGCAGGUCAAGGCCGAAGCCUGAAGCUGAUAGCCAGGAACAGGGUCACCCACAGACUGGGUGUGAGUGUGAAGAUGGUCCUGAUGGGCAGGAGAUGGACCCGCCAAAUCCAGAGGAGGUGAAAACGCCUGAAG